UACGGAGGGUGCAAGCGUUAAUCGGAAUUACUGGGCGUAAAGCGCACGCAGGUGGCUGAGUCAGUCGAUUGUGAAAGCCCUCGGCUUAACCGGGGAACUGCGUCUGAUACUGGAUGGCUUGAGUUCGGGAGAGGGAUGCGGAAUUCCAGGUGUAGCGGUGAAAUGCGUAGAUAUCUGGAGGAACACCGGUGGCGAAGGCGGCAUCCUGGACCGACACUGACACUGAGGAGCGAAAGCCAGGGGAGCAAACGGG
rnacentral:rRNA from 1 species